GCAUAUCAAUAAGCGGAGGAAAAGAAACCAACAGGGAUUGCCCCAGUAACGGCGAGUGAAGCGGCAAGAGCUCAAAUUUGAAAUCUGGCCUCCCUUGGGGGGUCCGAGUUGUAAUUUGUAGAGGAUGCUUCGGGUGUGGCCGCCGUCUAAGUUCCUUGGAACAGGACGUCGUAGAGGGUGAGAAUCCCGUCUUGGGCGGCCGGUCCGCGCCCGUGUGAAGCUCCUUCGACGAGUCGAGUUGUUUGGGAAUGCAGCUCUAAGCGGGUGGUAAAUUUCAUCUAAAGCUAAAUACUGGCCGGAGACCGAUAGCGCACAAGUAGAGUGAUCGAAAGGUUAAAAGCACCUUGAAAAGGGAGUUAAACAGCACGUGAAAUUGUUGAAAGGGAAGCGCUUGCGGCCAGACUCGAGGGGCGGGGUUCAGCGGGUGCGCGUCACCCGUGCACUCCCCGUCCCCCCGGGCCAGCAUCAGUUUCGACGGCCGGUCAAAGGCCCCCGGAAUGUGUCGUCUCUAGGGACGUCUUAUAGCCGGGGGUGCAAUGCGGCCCGCCGGGACUGAGGAACGCGCUCCGGCUCGGAUGCUGGCGUAAUGGCCGUAAGCGGCCCGUCUUGAAACACGGACCAAGGAGUCUAACAUCCACGCGAGUGUUCGGGUGUCAAACCCGUGCGCGCAGUGAAAGCGAACGGAGGUGGGAGCCCUAGGGCGCACCAUCGACCGAUCCUGAAGUCUUCGGAUGGAUUUGAGUAGGAGCGUGGCCGUUGGGACCCGAAAGAUGGUGAACUAUGCCUGAAUAGGGUGAAGCCAGAGGAAACUCUGGUGGAGGCUCGCAGCGGUUCUGACGUGCAAAUCGAUCGUCAAAUUUGGGCAUAGGGGGCGAAAGACUAAUCGAAACCAUCUAGUAGCUGGUUCUGCGA
rnacentral:rRNA from 1 species